ensembl:lncRNA
CAGUCAUACAAGAUGCCACAUUUUAUCCAAUGACAUCAUUUUCUGGAUGAAACUUCAAUUGCCUGGGGUCUGCAGAGUUGCAUACCCCACACAAUGUGACUGCAGUGUGCCAAUGAAAAUACAUGUUUGUUCUGCUUCUCCUCAGAGCUAUCCAGACCAUUACCAAUGCUUUUGGAAGAAGUUUUCCAGGAGACGUUUUUCCAGGAGGUCUUACUUCUAAAAGGAAGCACACAGUGUGUUGUGUACUCACUUUAAUAUGUAAAGCAGUCUCACAUGGCCGAAUAAGCAUAUGGAACUCUUGCCAAGAGUGCAGAAAACAGUGACUCACCUUUAAUUUUUUCAUAAUAACAGUUGAUCAAGACACUUUAUUAUGCAAAUAAGUAACCCACUAACCCUGAAAUUUCUGUCUGACUUGUCAGAUUUCUCCUAAUAGAGAUGGUAUGUGGAGAAGACAGACUGGGUCAGGGUGUGGCUUCAUAUUGGGACAUGUUUGUGUGUUGCCUGCUGUGAAGAUACGGUGGCUCAAAGGGGAAAUGGCUUCACUCGGCAGUCAGGGGCCUCCGAACAAGAUGUUAUCUUACAGUGUGAGAAUGAGAGAAGGCAGGAAGAGAUGUGAUGCUGUGGACUUUCCUCAUCAUAGGCCACCAACCUACAAUACUCACCACAAGACUUCAUUGAGGAUCUGAGCUCCUAGACGUCCGUUGAGGGUGGAAGAAUUUGGCAUUGCUAGAAGUCUCAAAAAAGCAUGUCGGCUUUUCAGAAGUGAUGAUUUCAAGAUCUGCCAAUUCAUUCUUAUCUGGGCCAAGAAUGGAUGUUUGAUAUCUGGAUAUCUUUUACUUGAGGUACACUGUGUUGCUUGGAGUUACAGCAUAUCUGAUUACUGGUGUUAAUGAC